rnacentral:rRNA from 1 species
UACCUUUAUCCGGGGCAUAGCCCGAAGAAAUUCGGAUUAACACCCCAUAAGAUUGUAAGGCGGCAUCGCUUAGCAAUUAAAAAUUUAUUGGAUAGAGAUUGGCGUGCGUCCUAUUAGCUAGUUGGUACGGGUAACGGCCUACCAAGGCGACGAUAGGUAGCUGGUGUGAGAGCACGACCAGCCACACGGGCACUGAGACACGGGCCCGACUCCUACGGGAGGCAGCAGUGAGGAAUAUUGGUCAAUGGGCGCAAGCCUGAACCAGCCAUGCCGCGUGAAGGAUGAAGGCGUUCUGCGUCGUAAACUUCUUUUAUUGGGGAAGAAACCUGAGAUGUCUAUUUCAGCCGACGGUACCCAAGGAAUAAGCACCGGCUAACUCCGUGCCAGCAGCCGCGGUAAU